UGGGCCCCGCUGUGAAUAAUGUGCAUUAAAAAAUUGUAUCUUUACCAUAAGACAUGGGUUUGUCAACUGAAAUCAAAGUUUUUGACCUUAACCUUUGACCUAGGAAGUUGUAAAUAAAUUAUGACACACCCUUUGGUGUUGGUUUAUAAACAUGUCAAGUAUAAACUUUGAAAUGAUAACGGUUCUCAAGAUAUAGAGCGGACACGAUCUUUACCAUAGGACAUGGGGUUGUCAACUGAAACCAAAGUUUUUGACCUUGAACUUUGCCCUAGGCAGUCGUUCAUAAAUUAUGACACACCCUCUGGUGUUGGUUCAUAUACAUGUCAAGUAUAAACUUUGAAAUCAUAACGGUUCUCAAGAUAUAGAGCGGACACGAUCUUCACCACAGGACACAGGGUUGUCAACU
rnacentral:lncRNA from 1 species